UAGUGAACUUCCUCUCUUCUUCCAAUGUGUGGAACCCAUGGAGUCACUAGCUGCAAGUGAGUGACGGCCAUUUUGGCGAGUUAAGUCAAGUGUAUUCUAUAUACACUUGGUUUUCCGUCCUAACAUGACUCAAGGUCUGCAGAAUCUACUAGAUGGAAUUCAACCUGCUUCAAAAAAAGCAGCUAUUGCUUGGACUCUUGAGUAUGGCCUUUUACACGCUGAUAAAUACCGUCGUUAUCAUCGGAACCCGAUUACGUUAUGUGACGAGGCAAAGCACAGGUUUGGUUGAUUUCCGUAAAAAAAGCAGACCAUAUAAUAUGUAACCACGAUUAAUUUUUUGAGGAAAUUCCCUUGCCUGUUGACAAAGCGGUCAUAUUGAUAUACUGUUCUGCUCAAGACUUUUCAUGCAUGGAUACCGUUCAUGAAUUGAGCUAUUUCACAUUAGGCAAUGACUUUGUGGUACUACUAUCAUUCACAACAAUUGCUGUGUGGUUCUAUUAUCAUUGAGAGAUGAUAGUGAAACACUUUUUAAAUAUAAUGUGGGGAAACUGAAAUUACAGGAGGAUUUCGGGAGUUUGAUCUUCAACCAUUGCUCAGAUCGACCAAGCUAAAUUGGACAAACAAAAAUAUAAUCGUGGCAGCGGAGUUGUAAGUCAUUGAAUUUUGGGUCUGGUAAAUACCCCCCCCCCCCCCAAGGAAAGAAAAAAGACAGAUGGUAUUAGUGUUAAAUGCUAAGAUGAAGACAUUAGUUUUAGCAAUAAAAGGAAAUGUUGUCGUCAAUAGUGAAAUCUAUAUCUACUAUUUCAAAAGUUAUGCCAUACCAAUCCCAGAGGGAUACCUACUUAAGAUAGUCAAUCAUAAUGUAGAUUUUGUAGGUAAGCUAGGAUUGAUUUUACUUUGGUUCUUGAUGAUAUGAAAAAAAAAAAAAAAAAAAAAUAGAAUCCAAUUGGCGGCCAGCUAAGAAUUGGAUGAGAUGAAGAGGUCGCUUACAUGAAUUUGCUGAUCGCUUGUGCCAAUUUUUGUAGCGACGAUUUUGUCGUCAUAACAACAUCGAUUUGAUGGCAUCGUUGAUAGAAGCGACCCGAAGACAAUAACAAGAGUGUGCUGCAUGAGUUUUCGUAAUGCUCAACUCACGAAAUGCUAUAUAGUAUUCUGUAUCUAUGUACUUCCAUGGCAGUAUCACGUAAACUUGUGACUUAGAUUAUAAAAAAAGAAAGUCGAGCCAUAACUCAACUCUUAACUUUCUUUUAUCAAACUUCAUUAUAAAUUCAAUGAUUACAAUAGUCUUACAGAGGUAGUAUAAUGUACUGAAUCAGAGAAAGGCUGAACAAGAACUGCCUGAGCUUGCUGAAGUCUCAGCUUAUGUAUGUUUUGGUUUGGGGAUGUUGAGAGGCUCGGUGUAGGUUAUGAUGAUAAGGUUGUGUCGUGUGCAAAAGAGUCCGAAGGUAGGGGAGGAAGUCUUAGCCUACACGCUAUCUGCCGAUCGCGCGAGCCAUAGUAGGCAAGUUCAGUCGCGCGCCAUGCCAUUCAUCUGUUCAGCCGUGUGCCCGAACUGGCGCAAAAUGUAUACUUCUUAUGACAUGUAUAUUUAGGGGCUACAAAAGGAAUUGUGAAAUAAUAAACAAGGUUUGAGGACAAAUAGUGUUUUUAAGAUGUCUAGGGCGUAAUCAUGAUCAAUUGAUCAGUUAACAAAAACAAUUUAUUAUUUCAAAGUGGAUAAUGAAUCACUAGCAAUUUGCAAAUUACCACGAGUCAGACACGUGGGUUCCGUUUAUGGCACAAAUUCUUUACUACGAGUCUGACACGUGGUUUUCGCUUAUGGCACAAAUCCCUUACAACGAGUCUUCCUCGACGUUAUAGGCUAAGGAGUUAAGGUAUGGUCGAUGUCACAACAGCAAGUAGCGAACAAACGUUCGUUCGAAGUAUUGUUUGAAAUAUCGUGAACUAUUACGAGUUAUUUACAAGUAAAUAUAGAAAUAAUCUGUCAGCAAAUAAAGUUGAGGGGAAAUAAUAUACAUGUCAUGAGUUAUUCAAAAAUAAAAAAAACAAUCUUGUUGUAUAAGUCGACAUUGUGAAGAUCGAUAGAUCUCACGCGCAUGAAACGUGGAUGUAAGCGGCGAAUAAUAAUUGUAAUUCGAAACACUCAGCAGCUAGCUGCGAAUAUUGCAUUUAUGUGUGUCAACGUGUACAACUGGUGUUUGUAGUAUAUCAAGUUAUUUUCCUUCGAAUAGUUAUUUCUAUUUUCAUAAUAAUAAUAAUUUCUUUUCAUUUAAGUAAA